rnacentral:rRNA from 1 species
AACGAACGCUGGCGGCAUGCCUAACACAUGCAAGUCGAACGAGACCUUCGGGUCUAGUGGCGCACGGGUGUGUCACGUGUGGGAACCUGCCCUUAGGCUCGGAAUAACUCCCCGAAAGGGGUGCUAAUACCGGAUAAUGUCUUCGGAUCAAAGAUUUAUCGCCCUUGGAUGGGCCGGCGUUGGAUUAGCUUGUUGGUAGGGUAAAAGCCUACCAAGGCGACGCUCCAUAGCUGGUCUGAGAGGAUGGUCAGCGACACUGGGACUGAGACACGGCCCAGACUCCUACGGGAGGCAGCAGAGGGGAAUAUAGGACAAUGGGCGAAAGCCUGAUCCAGCAAGGCCGCGAGAGUGAUGAAGGCCUGAGAGUUGAAAAGCUCUUUUACCCGGGAUGAUAAUGACAGUACCGGAAGAAUAAGCUCCGGCUAACUCCGUG